GAUGAACGCUGGCGGCGUGCCUAAUACAUGCAAGUCGAGCGAACGGACGAGAAGCUUGCUUCUCUGAUGUUAGCGGCGGACGGGUGAGUAACACGUGGAUAACCUACCUAUAAGACUGGGAUAACUUCGGGAAACCGGAGCUAAUACCGGAUAAUAUUUUGAACCGCAUGGUUCAAAAGUGAAAGACGGUCUUGCUGUCACUUAUAGAUGGAUCCGCGCUGCAUUAGCUAGUUGGUAAGGUAACGGCUUACCAAGGCAACGAUGCAUAGCCGACCUGAGAGGGUGGUCGGCGACACUGGAACUGGGACACGGUCCAGACUCCUACGGGAGGCAGCAGUAGGGAAUCGUCCGCAAUGGGCGAAAGCCUGACGGAGCAGCGCCGCGUGAGUGAUGAAGGUCUUCGGAUCGUAAAACUCUGUUAUUAGGGAAGAACAUAUGUGUAAGUAACUGUGCACAUCUUGACGGUACCUAAUCAGAAAGCCACGGCUAACUACGUG
rnacentral:rRNA from 1 species